CCAGUAAGAUACCGUGAUGGCCUUUGUUCUCUGUUCUCAGUUCCUCACGAUGCGGACGGCGACCGUGUCAAGUCAGCUCGUGCUUCCCUCCCUAUUCCCCAAUCCAGCAAACCCUAAUCUCGCCUCUUAGUUCUUGCUCGGCUCCAGCGAGUGGUGGCGCUCGACAUCGACGAGCGGCAGCAGCCGCCAGGGCAGGCGGACGGCAACCGGGGCGGGGCCUCCUGCUGGGCGGUCACAGGAGCGGCAGCAUGGCAGAUCUGCAGAGCGGCGCUGCCGCGGCCGGACAGCGGCGCCUGCCGAGGGACGCCAGGACAUGCCACCGACCCGCCGUGCAAGCAAGUAGUGGAGGUGAGGGAUGACCACCGCAAGUAAGCACCGGCCUGCGUGCAAGCAAGCAGGAGCUCUGUAGCUGAGCUAAGCAGCAGCGCAGCACCAGGCCACUUGGACGACCAAGAGCUCGAAGCAGGCACACAAAAGGCAAGACUGGAAAUUGGGAUUUCAGAAAAGUUUGUUGGUUUCUACUUCAUCUGGAAAGGAAUUGGUGGAUAAAUAAUAUGAAGAAGUGCUUGAUGAAAGAGCAUUAUUUCGAGCAUCAUUCUACCGAGGCGGCUGCAUUGAUUAUUUGCUUAGAGCAUCUCCAAGAGUUUGCCAAAAUUUACUUGCCAAAUCUUGUGAUUUGGCAAGUUGCUAAAACAUAUGGCAAGUGUAAUUUUGUAGUCUCUCCAAUAGUUUGCCAUAUGUGCUUGGUAAAAUUUAAAAAGUAGACCCACUUCCAAAUCUCCAUCAACUAAUUUCACUUUUAUUUAUCAUCACACCCAGAUUUAUAUUAGCUAAAUUUCACUUUUAUUUGUCAUCGCACUACUACUAUAUUGAUUCAAGGAACCUGUACUUUCGUUUCAUUUUGUUAUUCAGAGAAUAUUUGGUCUUAUUUGAAAGUGUCAAUACUUUUAUUUUUUCUAUUCAAAGAACUUGUACGUA